GUUCGAUUCCUGGUGUGAGCA
rnacentral:tRNA from 1 species